UAAUCAAUAGCCAAUUAAUUGUUGGCCAGUAUGAAUGGCGCCACGAAGGCCCCACUGUCUUAAGGAAAUUCCCAGUGAAAUUGAAUUCGUAGUGAAGAUGCUACGUCCAAUUUGUUAGACGAAAAGACCCCGUUGAGCUUUACUGGAGCACUUACAUGGCCCCGGCCUUCCCAUGCCUGGGAACCGGCCGAAUUUAAAUGGGCGGCUUAGAUUAUGUGGCAGCCCCCCGCUGGGGCAAAUGAAACACCACUCCCCCAUGUCAAAGGGGCUAACCCCCCCCCCUUGGGGGGACAGUGUAAGUAGGACAGUUUGGUUGGGGCGACCACCUUUUAAAAAGUAACGAAGGUGCGCUUAAGGUGCGCAAUUAAUGACUGAAGCCUGACUGCGAGGGGGACACCCCGAGCAGACACCCCAAAGCCCGCCCAAAAGGCGGCGGUGGGGUGGGCCAUAGUGACCCGUUAAUUUAGAGUGGAAUAGUUAACGAUCAACGAAUAAAAGUUACCACGGGGAUAACAGCGUAAUAU
rnacentral:rRNA from 1 species